rnacentral:rRNA from 1 species
AUUGAACGCUGGCGGCAUGCCUAACACAUGCAAGUCGAGCGGAGCGGCGGACGGGGGAGUAAUGCCUAGGAAUCUGCAUGGUGGUGGGGUAACCCGUCCGGGAACGGGCGACAAUACCGCAUAAUAUCAGAUGAGCCUCGGUAGGAUUAGAUAGUUGGUGGGGUAAAGGCUUACCAAGGCGACGAUCCGUACCCGGUCUGAGAGGAGGAUCAGUCACACUGGAACUGAGACACGGUCCAGACUCCUACGGGAGGCAGCAGUGGGGAAUAUUGGGCAAUGGGCGAAAGCCUGAUCCAGCCAUGCCGCGUGUGUGAAGAAGGUCUUCGGAUUGUAAAGCACUUUAAGUAGGGAGGCGUUACCUACAGAAAAAGCACCGGCUAACUUCGUGCCAGCCGCCGCGGUAAUAC